AUUGAACGCUGGCGGCAGGCCUAACACAUGCAAGUCGAGCGGAGCGGCGGACGGGUGAGUAAUGCCUAGGAAUCUGCCUGGUCGUGGGGGAUAACGUCCGGAAACGGGAGCUAAUACCGCAUACUAUAAGAGGAGCCUAGGGCGGAUUAGCUAGUUGGGGGGGUAAAGGCCUACCAGGGCGAAGAUCCGUAACUGGUGGGAGAGGAUGAUCAGUCACACGGGAACGGAGAGACGGUCCAGACUCCUACGGUAGGCAGCAGUGGGGAAUAUUGGACAAUGGGCGAAAGCCUGAUCCAGCCAUGCCGCGUGUGUGAAGAAGGUCUUCGGAUUGUAAAGCACUUUAAGUUGGGAGGCGUUACCAACAGAAUAAGCACCGGCUAACUUCGUGCCAGCAGCCGCGGUAAUUC
rnacentral:rRNA from 1 species